UACGGAGGGUGCGAGCGUUGUCCGGAAUCACUGGGCGUAAAGGGCGCGUAGGCGGCCGUGUAAGUCACUUGUGAAAUCCCGGGGCUCAACUCCGGGGCUGCAGGUGAGACUGCAUGGCUAGAGCUUGGUAGAGGCGAGUGGAAUUCCCGGUGUAGCGGUGGAAUGCGUAGAUAUCAGGAGGAACACCGGUGGCGAAGGCGGAUCUCUGGGCCUGUCCUGACGCUCAGGCGCGAAAGCUAGGGGAGCAAACAGG
rnacentral:rRNA from 1 species